rnacentral:rRNA from 1 species
UACGGAGGGUGCAAACGUUGCUCGGAAUUACUGGGCGUAAAGGGCGCGUAGGCGGCCUGCUAAGUCGAACGUGAAAUCCCUGGGCUCAACCCAGGAACUGCGUCCGAUACUGGUUGGCUUGAAUCCGGGAGAGGGACGUGGAAUUCCAGGUGUAGCGGUGAAAUGCGUAGAUAUCGGAAGGAACACCAGUGGCGAAAGCGGCUUCCUGGUCCAGCAUCGACGUUCAGGCACGAAAGCGUGGGGAGCAAACAGG